AUUGUCUAUAGCCAUACCACCCAGAAUGCAACCAAUCUCGUCUGAUCUUGGGAGCUAAGCAGGGUCAGUCCUGGUUAGUACUGGAAGGGAGAAUUUUAUUUCUAAGAACACUGGAGAGGGAAAAUU
rnacentral:rRNA from 1 species